rnacentral:ncRNA from 27 species
UACAGAUGAUGUGGCAGCAGUUGUCGUUCUGAGAAUAUACGGUUGAACUUGAUCUGGAUAAUUCCAGCGAAAGGACUCAUGCGCGCUUUUUU